ACGACCUUACUUGAACAGGAUCUGUUCUAUAGGCUCGUACAACUGUAUCCUUGAGUUCUAAGGAGACAGGAACCAAAGUCUGGUUGAUGAACCAUGACCGUGUGAUCAGAGCGUGAUUAACAGUCCACUGGUUAGCCUUUGGGUUCACCAAUUGGAGGGUAGAGGAUCGUUCUCAGCUAGUAUCCACUGGCUGGGGUGGUCACACGGUUGUCUGACAAACC